rfam:Ixodes scapularis strain Wikel colony gcontig_1108379412234, whole genome shotgun sequence.
AGCUGUUGGUAGAGCGCUCCACUCGAAAUGGAGAGGUCCCUGGUUCGAUACCAGG